rnacentral:lncRNA from 1 species
CUAAGUCAAAUUAUGUACAACAGAAUGGCCAAAGCAUAGAGAAAUCAAGAAAAUAAAAAGUAGCUAAUUUCCACUAUUUCAGCAGAUACUCAUAAUUUGUAUCAGUUCCCAACAUAGACAGACCUUUUGGCUACACCUAAAGGCGAUCUAAACCGGUACUGGCUCGUAAUCUCUGGUCUUAUCUCCAGCUGCUGCAGGCGCGGGUUGUAAAUCUUCUCUAUUUCUUGUUUUAUUUUGCGAACUUGGACGUGAAUUGGGAUUCCA